AGAUAGUAGAUUUUCAUUAAAAAAACAGGCCUUAACGGGCCAAUACAAAGGUUUUACAACAAAGGCUCAAACCCCAACAUAGAGGGUUAUUGGUUAAUAGAAAAUAAGAGCCUAGAUAUCUAAUCCAACCCAAUAAUCAAACCCAAACCCAUAGCAGAAAACCUAGUUAAAUAGGGUUGCUCCCACAAUCUGUAUUCCUGAAGCAACCCAAAAACGAAGCUGCAGCCCAAUCCUUCACUGCAGGAAGCAUCCUGAGUUCCGACGGGGGGCAACUCUAUAGACUAAAGCACAAUGACAAGUGAUUAUGCAUGGCGAGAUUGUCCAAACUAGAACACCCUUGGCUCAAUAAUAACCAAGAUUCAAGCAGCCAACCUAAGCUUCAAUAAUAGGAUUGCAAGUACAGUGGCCAUGGAAGACAAGACCAAAUGCUCAUUGAGAUAGAAUAGUGGAAGAAGAAACAAUGUACAGUGGCUUCUCAAUCUCCUUUAGUCCAAAGGGGGAAGCCUUGGAAGUGAGCUUACACUUAUACUCUCAAUAUUCCCCUUCCACCAUACCCAGCAAACGAAGAACAACACUCCAACGUUGAAGUAAUAACCUUUCUCAGAGAACAAGCUCAACAGAAUCACCACCCGCGGAUCCAGAAAUAAACCCUUUCCAAAUCUCAUACUUUAAUUAGCAACGAAAGCAAACAAAUUUAUUGAUCUAUAAGACUCCACUCGAAGGUGUGGAGGAG
rnacentral:misc_RNA from 1 species